ACCUAGCGGCUUUGCGGAUAUGACUGCUGUGUCACAUUUGUGUCAGUAGGUGGCAGAGAGGAGAGAGGCUAUGUCAACCUUCAGUGUUCUGACCUGUGGACAUCUGAAUGAUUAGUAGCUUAAUAUU